rnacentral:rRNA from 1 species
GCGUAACGACUUGGGCGCUGUCUCGACCAUGGACCCGGUGAAAUUGCACUGGUCGUGAAGAUGCGACUUACCCGCGGAAGGACGGAAAGACCCCGUGAACCUUUACUGCAGCUUUGCAUUGGACUUUGAACCGAUCUGUGUAGGAUAGGCGGGAGGCAGAGAACCGAGGACGCCAGUCUUUGGGGAGCCGACGUUGAAAUACCGCCCUGAUUUGUUUGAGGUUCUAACCGCGGACAGUAAACCUGUUCCGGGACCGUGCAUGGUAGGCAGUUUGACUGGGGCGGUCGCCUCCUAAAGGGUAACGGAGGAGUACAAAGGUACGCUAGGUACGGUCGGAAAUCGUGCUGAUAGUGCAAUGGCGCAAGCGUGCUUGACUGCGAGACCGACAAGUCGAGCAGAUGCGAAAGCAGGUCAUAGUGAUCCGGUGGCACUGAAUGGAAGGGCCAUCGCUCAACGGAUAAAAGGUACUCCGGGGAUAACAGGCUGAUACCGCCCAAGAGUUCAUAUCGACGGCGGUGUUUGGCACCUCGAUGUCGGCUCAUCACAUCCUGGGGCUGAAGUAGGUCCCAAGGGUAUGGCUGUUCGCCAUUUAAAGUGGUACGCGAGCUGGGUUUAGAACGUCGUGAGACAGUUCGGUCCCUAUCUGCCGUGGGCGCUGGAGAACUGAGGGGGGCUGCUCCUAGUACGAGAGGACCGGAGUGGACGCAUCACUGGUGUUCGGGUUGUCAUGCCAAUGGCACUGCCCGGUAGCUAAAUGCGGAAGAGAUAAGUGCUGAAAGCAUCUAAGCACGAAACUUGCCCCGAGAUGAGUUCUCCCUGACUCCUUGAGAGUCCUGAAGGAACGUUGAAGACGACGACGUUGAUAGGCCGGGUGUGUAAGCGCAGCGAUGCGUUGAGCUAACCGGUACUAAUGAACCGUGAGGCUUAACCUU